GUCAGAAUAGUUGACUUAUGUUUGAGCUAAACAUGGUAUUCUGGCUCAAAAAAUGGAGUAAGGGGUUAUCUGGGGAGGUAAGGAGCCAAAACUAUCUCAAUGUUUUGGAUCCUCUGGCUACAGAAUGGGAGGCUCUGCUGAGAAUCACUAACAUUUUCUGAAGUCAAUAUAUGGACCUCAGUGCUGCACUAUCUAUAUUGCAGGUAUGGAGAGCUGAUACAAGCACAGAGCAGUGCAGCUAUACUCCUUGGAAAGCACUUGUUUAUCCAGGCCAGUCCUCUUGAAAGAAAAAAGCCACAAGGUGCCGUGCACAGUCAGCAGGGCACCCGUCUGCUGAACCUGCUGGAGCUGGAUGAUGCAUGAGAGUUCAAGCCACUACCACUUCUCUGUGAAAGGCUGGAGAAUUCAGGCAAGGAGAAGGCAAUGCUUUUUCCCUGGAAAUAGCUCAGCAACAGUAUCCUUCAGUGAAAGGAAUUUUCACCUCUGGAAAGUUAACACCGUUUUAAUCCCAGAUGAUGCCAACAUAUCAUCUUCUGGCUAUUACAUGGACUACUGGGCUAAAUGAACUUCUGCUUGAUUCUCACUGGGCAAUUCCUACAGCAGACACAGAAAUGUGAUGUGUGAUGUAGGCCAAAUUGAGGUCCUGCAAAUGUGUUCUCAGUCAUUAGUCAUCUUAUGGGAGUGCAAUGCACCCUUAAAGAUUUGUAAAGUGCUUGAGAUUCUCUUAUACAAGGUGUGAAAAAUCAUAAGUGUGUGUGAGUGCAUGUGUGUCUGCACGUGCUUUCUUGAGAGGUUUUAAAUUUAUGGACAGAGACUUUUGCACACGAGUGAAAGCAGCCACACAUAGUCUCAUGUCCUCUUGAAUUAACCCAUCUGGUCAGACUUCAGUGUCAUGAACUGGAUUCAUUCAGAUAAUGAAAGAGGAAAGUAAUAGAAAGAUUAGUGAAGCAAAAUGGAAAGUACAAGUGAACUCAAGGAAUAUCAAGGUGCUUGGACCUAGUCUAUAGAAAAUGUAUUUUAACUGUCAGAGUUUGUCCCAGUGUCUGCCUAGCACAACUCUUAACACAGUUCUAGAGACAGCAGUAUCUGUGGGCUCUGUACCAUGUGAUAUGAAAGCUCAUACACAGGUAGUCCCUUGAGCAGCUAUUUUCUGUUUUCUAUGUCUUGUUUUCAGUACUAUCAACACAGAAGCAACUACACUCAUGAUUACAUGCCAUGUUGAGUUACAGAUUGACCAUGUCACAUUUCUGUCAUACCUUGACAUUGGCUUCAAAAUCAGUGAUCAUCUAUGUAAAAUCAAAGGGAUGAGUUAUAGAAUGAGGUACUUCCAAUGUGAGCAAACAUGAUAAGGUAAGUAUAUUGAUAAAUAAGAAAGUAAAGUCAUUUUAAAUACAGUUAGCAUGGGAGUUUAGGAAUAUCAUUAAAGAGUACUUAAGCAAGCUCUUAGCAAAUGAGGUAAUAUUUUGUCAGGAUUCAUUAAUCAUCACAUUUACUCUGAUCACGUUUAUUAAAGGAGAUAAAUACAGAGUCUAAUUGUUCAAAUACUAAACAGCUGGCACAAAGGACAGCUUUUUCUUUUCUGUUUAAACAGAAAAAUUGAGACUGCGUUUACUAAUAGAAAAAUCAGAGUAGCUGACAGAAACAGUGUCACUGAAGCCAGCUUGUUAACUGCUUGCCAGGGGACUUCACCUUUACCCCUAGGAGUUUUCAGUGCCUAUGGUAUUGUCAGCACAGAGUAGAAAAGGAACAAAAGGGAAAUGUGCCUGGAAAUAGAGACUAGACUUCAAAUUCCACAAUUAGCAACUCCUGAAGACCACAGACACUUGCAGAUAUGAAAGCCCUAUUUUUCACUCUAAGUUCUGUUUGUUGUUGUCGUUGUUUGGUUUGUUUGUUUGUUUUAAUAUGGAACUAACACACACAUUCAAGCAAUACAGAGUUGAAAACCAAUGCUUGUACCUUACUCAAAAACAUGAAGAUUUUCUUCCAUGUCCUUUCCCUUCCUUUUCCCCCAGAUUUAUCAGCCUGUCUGCUUUUUGAGCACAACACAAUUCAAGUUUGCAGUCCUCUUUCUGGCUUCAGCAGCAGUGUCAGGGCUCUAGUGAUAACUUCUUAAAGACAAUUUCUGAUAUGUGUUAAUCUGCUAACCUCUUCUUUUUCCUCCUAGUGGCAAUUACAGUAAGAGAAGUUAGGAGUAAGAACAGUAUUUUUAAAGGAAACAUGGUAUCCUUGGUUUCACUUGAAGGUACAAAAAAAUUUGGAAGAGCAGACACUUCUGAUGUGAAGAAAAAUCACAUGAAAGAUAUUUGUUUUUGGUAUUUAAAGUCAGUGUUUAUAGGGCAUUUGGAAGAGUAUGACAUGCUUGAUAUGCAAGUGCAAAAAUCAUCUGUCAAAAUCUGAGUGGGCUGUAUCAGGAAGAUGGCUCAGUUCCCUGCAUUUGCCUGACUAGUCCAAAGGGCUUUUCCCUAGCCCAGAUUAGGAUCUGCAAUCAUUUAUAGAGCUGUUCAGGAAAUUGAUUUUUUUUUUUCCUCUGAAAAAAAUACAGACUUUUUUUAUUUCAAUAAAAUCAUUCCCAAAUCAAAGAACA
rnacentral:lncRNA from 1 species